rnacentral:rRNA from 1 species
GAUGAACGCUAGCGGCGGGCUUAAUACAUGCAAGUCGAGGGGUAGCAAUACACCGGCGCACGGGUGCGUAACGCGUAUGCAACCUACCUUUAUCUGGGGGAUAGCCCGGGGAAACCCGGAUUAAUACCGCAUAACAAAUUGCUUGGCAUCGAGUAAUUUUAAAAGAUUUAUCGGAUAGAGAUGGGCAUGCGUAAGAUUAGAUAGUUGGCGAGGUAACGGCUCACCAAGUCUACGAUCUUUAGGGGCUCUGAGAGGUGAAUCCCCCACACUGGCACUGAGAUACGCGCCAGAGUCCUACGGGAGGCAGCAGUAGGGAAUAUUGGGCAAUGGACGCAAGUCUGACCCAGCCACGCCGCGUGCAGGAAGAAGGCCCUCUGGGUUGUAAACUGCUUUUGACCGGGAAGAAAAGAUCCUUUGCGAAGGAAGUUGACGGUACCGGCAGAAUAAGCCACGGCUAACUACGUGCCAGCCGCCGCGGUAAAAC